rnacentral:rRNA from 1 species
AGCGUAUAUUAAAGUUGUUGCAGUUAAAACGUUCGUAGUUGAAUUUGUGUUCCACACGGGCAGUACACCUAAAUCUUGGGUUUGUACAUUGCCUUAAAAUUAAAAAUGUGUGUGAACGUAUUACCGGCUGAAUUUAUAUUUUUAAUAUGAAUUCACAUAUUAUAUGUCCUACUUCAGUGCUCUUAAUCGAGUGCUGUUGUGGGCCGGUACAAUUACUUUGAACAAAUUAGAGUGCUUAAAGCAGGCUUUUAAUGCCUGAAUAUUUGUGCAUGGAAUAAUGGAAGAGGACAUCUGUUCUAUUUUCUAUUGGUUUUUAGAUCAAGAUGUAAUGAUUAAUAGAAGCAGUUGGGGGCAUUAGUAUUACGACGCGAGAGGUGAAAUUCUUGGACCGUCGUAAGACUGACUAAAGCGAAAGCAUUUGCCAAAUAUGUUUUCAUUAAUCAAGAACGAAAGUUAGAGGUUCGAAGGCGAUCAGAUACCGCCCUAGUUCUAACCAUAAACGAUGUCAGCUAGCAAUUGAAUGUAGCUACUACUAUGGCUCUUUCAGACGCUUCUCGGGAAACCAAAGCUUUUGGGCUCCGGGGGAAGUAUGGUUGCAAAGCUGAAACUUAAAGGAAUUGACGGAAGGGCACCACCAGGAGUGGAGCCUGCGGCUUAAUUUGACUCAACACGGGAAAACUUACCAGGUCCGAACAUAAAUAAGUAAGACAGAUUGAUAGCUCUUUCUCGAAUCUAUGGGUGGUGGUGCAUGGCCGUUCUUAGUUCGUGGAGUGAUUUGUCUGGUUAAUUCCGAUAACGAACGAGACUCAAAUAUAUUAAAUAGAUGCAUUCAGGAUUAUGGUGUUGAAGCUUAUAUGCUCGCCUGUUUUCGUUCCUCACGGUGCGUUUGCAGUUGUGUAUGUAUGUAAGUGGAGCCAUACCUGUUUGUUUGUCUAAUUAAAAAUAGACACUAGCUUCUUAAAUGGACAAAUUG